GACGAACGCUGGCGGCGUGCCUAAUACAUGCAAGUCGAACGCAGUGGGGACGGGUGAGUAACACGUGGGUAACCUCCCAUCAGAGGGGAUAACACUUGGAAACAGGUGCUAAACCGAUACUGAUUGAUGGACCCGCGGGGCAUUAGCUAGUUGGUGAGGUAACGGCUCACCAAGGCCACGAGGCAUAGCCGAGCUGGUAGGGUGAUCGGCCACACUGGGACGUAGACACGGCCCAGACUCCUACGGGAGGCAGAAGUAGGGAAUCUUCGGCAAUGGACGAAAGUCUGACCGAGAAACGCCGCGGGAGUGAAGAAGGUUUUCGGAUCGUAAAACGCUGUUGUUAGAGAAGCGGUAGAUAAAGAGAAAGCCACGGCUAACUACGUGCCAGCAGCCGCGGUAAGAG
rnacentral:rRNA from 1 species